GUUGAUUCACAAUUGUGUCAGUUUCACUCUUUUAUUCAUUCAAUCCGAAACGGUUUUCAGUUUCAAAAAGAAAGAAAAGCUUCUCACUUUACCUUUCUGACGUUCUAACUUCGUUCCUUUUCUCCUUCUCUGUUCCGUUUCUCUUCCAUGGCUUUAAAUUGCAUCACGUUCUUCUUCCCUUCAUUUUCUCUUUAGGGUUCCGAAAUUGACAGAUUUGGGAGAGAGGCUUUCUGCAAUUUUUCAGCUUUUGCAAAAAUUUAUUCCGCUGCAGUAUAUUACACUUCUAUUGGUCUUUUCCUUAUGCAGUAUGAAUAUCAGCAUAAGAUAGCCCCAAAUUCAUGCCUCAUUGAGGUUCUUCCUACAACCUUUCCUGAAUGAGAAGGGAUUUCAUGGAUGGAUUUGUAGGAUUGCUAAGGUUUUCACGAGGUGAGAGACCACUGAGUUCCUUACUGAACAGCUUUUUUAUCCACUUCUCAUGUGGCUUCAUGGUGAUCUUGAUAUGAGCAAAAGUUGCAUCAAGAAUGUGUUUGUUGAGAUCAAAAGUCACCAAUUAGAUGUCCAAGUAAUACGUUAUUAUUUGAUCACAUGGAAAAUGCAUCAACCGAAGUAUUACAUAAAAGGCAUAAAGGAAUGAAUUGAAUGACCUUUUAACUAUGACAUGAUUUUGUUCAAUUUGAUUCAGGUGCAGUGACAAUUAAGUUCCAGACUUUAAAUGCAACUUUUUCUUGACCUACUCGAUCAUCCUCUAUUGAUUCAGCCUCAUUCUUUGAUUGUAGUGUAUAGAAACAAAGCAGGAGAUAGGUGCUGAAGUGAAAGUGAGAUGACCAAUGAGGCGAGAAAGAUGGUGGUUCAGGAAACUUGCUUCCUUGAGUGGCAAAAUUUAACUGUACAAGCUUCUAGACAAGGCCAUGUUGAUCAGAAAGAGCUUUAAUGGAAUUCCUAUGAAACCUUGGAUGAAUAGUUGGAGCCGGAGUGGAAAACCUUGGAUGAAUAGUUGGUUCAUAUGAGUUAGGAAAUUCCAUAGAGCAUAGAAAGUUAGUUUUAGGUUAUUGAAUUAUUAGUUAAAUAAUAAUUAUAGAUUAAUUUCUAAGCACUGACAGUGUAAAAAAAUUUACACUAUCAUUCCUUUUGGUAGAUCUAACUCUAAUAAUUAAUAUUAAUAUUAAUCCAUAAAAGAUAAAGAGUAUCAAUGAAGAAGAUAACCUUCCCAUUAUCCCUUUUCCCUGCAACUACAUAAGUAUU